UACGGGGGGGGUAAGCGUUGUUCGGAAUUACUGGGCGUAAAGGGCUCGUAGGCGGCCAACUAAGUCAUACGUGAAAUCCCUCAGCUUAACUGGGGAACUGCGUGUGAUACUGGCUGGCUUGGAUUUGGGAGAGGGAUGCGGAAUUCCUGGUGUAGCGGUGAAAUGCGUAGAUAUCUGGAGGAACACCGGUGGCGAAGGCGGCUACCUGGACCGAUAUUGACGCUGAGGCGCGAAAGCGAGGGGAGCAAACGGG
rnacentral:rRNA from 1 species